UCAUUUAUCAUCCAUCUCGUAUACCUGUUCCGUCUUGUAUAAGGAUAACACACUUACACAAGAAACACCACCACCAUAUGUCGUCCAACAAAGCGUACAACUGUUUCGAUGAUUCAAUUGCCCCAAAACAUGACAGCAAAGCAAACCACUUGUGUUUCCAUUCCCUCGCGUUUCCCCGAUAAUUUCUUACCGAGUGCAUAACUAACCCAAACCCCCUUACCCAAACACCAGAAGGACCUCGGAAAGUCCACCGCCAGGUAGCAGCAGCAGCCACGUGAUAUGGUUUCUUCACUUUCGUUUCAGCACAUGACAUGAUACACGAACUUUCGCUCGAGCCCCAGUGGACAGGAGAGCAUGAGGAAUGCGUUCACUGCUUGCGGACAGGCAGGGCACAACAAAAAAUGGAAAGAUGGGAAGGCAAACGAAAACUGGAUAAACGACAGUCGGUCGUCGAUGAUGCAAUGGGUCGAUAGGCUGGGCAUGAACCAUUGCGCCGAGUCCGACCACGUACAUGUUCCUAUACGCAAGCAGGUGCAGAUUCCCAAUGAAUGAAGACCCACAUUUUGAGUGCGGUUGCUGCUGCAAGAUCGGGAUAACUUCUGCGGCCCCUAUGCUAGUGCUGCAGGUACUAAGGUCCUUUCAUUGGAAUCCCAGGAAGAGGGAAAACCCCCUCAUUGCCAUUGAGAGAGUGCGCGCGUAAGAUUGAUCGAGCAUUAUUUAUUCCACCACACAAAGGAAGGUUUUUACUGGGGCACGAUUUAAAACCGAUGACAAAACCCAACGAAAAAUUCCACAUCGUAUUAGCCACAGCCUGCAAGCGAUGAAGAUGUCAUGCGGGCGUGUGAUGGAGACUCUGGCGAUGCUCUCAAUUCCCCCUUUACAGCUUUCCAUUAUCGGAUAAAAGAGAUAGAGUAGAGACGUUUGAAGAAGAAGAAAAAGAUCCCGGGGUAGUACAAAACAAGACACUUUGACCCUUCUGCGGUUGCACCACACCAACACACAGCUGAAACGGUGAAGACGGUGAUCGGUUCGUUCCAUCGUGACAAUCGGUUUGGUAUCGUUUUCUUUUCCGAGUGAAAGUUUUUAUUUUUCGGAAGCACUCUUCACCAGUGCUUCGCCGGUGGAAACGUUUGGACGACAAAACAACAGACAACGACAGCCUCGACCGUGACCGAGGGUCGCGGCAGGCUCAGCAGCAGACGCGGAAGCGGCAGCAGUAGCAACACACCACCGCACACAUGAAAACGAGCUGAUUAGGAAGGAGAGUAAAAUGAUGCGUUUUAAAUUUAGUUUUAAUUUACCCUAACCUAACUACCUUCCCCAAAGGCCUUGCGCCGCACAAACGACACAUUUGGGCACGUAGGCGUGGGUUUAUGAAUUUCACCAACUGUCAGGGCUGUCGUUUGCUACACUUUCCCCCCGGGGUGGCUUCAAGUAGUGGUAGUAGUAGUAGUAGUAGCAGGUGCUUUUUUGGCGUGCUGUUGUUUUCCGUUUGCUGAAAGCGAGUCGUCCAAAAAUCAUCACCAUCGUACGUCGUUUGUCAAACGGUAGCGCGGGCGCGAGGUUAAACUCGACCGAAUCCGUCCGACUGUUUGUCGCGGCGGGAUGUCGAUGAGAAAGUUAAACUGCAAACGAAGUUUUUUUUUGUUAAGAAACAGACAUACAGACAGACAAAUAGCCUAAACUGGAGUGACUGUGGUUCGAAAAAUAACAUUUCCAGCGCGACAGGUCUCUCAUACAUAAUGCAUACCGAGAGCCGUAGCUUGUCGUCAAGUUGUGGGGUAAAAACUCACCCCAAAAAAAAACAAACCGUUCAAGUGAUAUACUUUAAACGAUCAUUAACAUCAUUAUGCAAAGUGAUUAUGAAUGCUUAUACCACAUUUAAAAUCACAGAGAAAGGGAGAAGGGGAACGAAGGGAAAACAACAGCUUCCCGGGCUAAAUGUAAGCAAUCGUUUAAUGUUGCUAAAAAGCAACAUUAAAUUAAAAGAAGCAGUACUGCUCCUUUCAUAAUCGCAUUUUUUGUGUUUUGUAUUCUGGCUUAUGUUUUUGUGUGUGUGUGUUCCUUUCUCCUCCCAGUUUAAUGCCAAAAUUGUAGCGAACACACCGGCGCUCGGUUUGCCCCGUUAGGUGUAAAUUUAUUUUUCAACACCUUUUAAUUGAAUUUUAACAAGCGUCUACCGAAACCGUUUUCCAGUACCUAUGGGGCACAAGCACUAGCGCACCAGCGCCCCUGUUUUUGUUGUCCAUUCAUUUAGAAAGGGAUUUAGCUACAAUGAACCACCGAAUGAAACCGUGUGGCAGUGGGCAGCAACAGCGUUUUUGUCUGUUUUGUGUGUGCGUGUCUGUGAGUAGCUGGAUGGAUCAACAAAUUUGACCAUUUUUGGGCGUUAAUAUUCUUUCGACAAUAAAUUACCGGUGGAGGCUUGUGUGAGAAAGUCAUGUCUAGUCGUGUCGGUCAACCCGUUUUUCGGAGGGCGUUUAUGUAUGAUCGGUCAGCAGUUCUUGCCUCGGGACAGUUAUAUGGAUGGUUGCGAGCUAAUCAACAUCGGCUUGCAUCGUUGUGAAGGAACAAAAACUCGGGCACAUAUAUGGGAGCAGAGCACCUGAGUGUGUGUUCCCAGCAGGUUGAAAUUUCAUUUUGCACCGAGCUUAGAACUUGGAGGCUGCGCUGCACUCUGUAUGAUGAAUUUCACUUUUACACCAUUCAUUUAUCAUUCUGCCUUUAGAAUUGAUCGGAGAAAGGCAAGCAAGCAACGAUCGAUUGCCGAUAGAGUUGAGAGAAUGAACAUAACAGUAAAUGUGUUUUGCGGUUUAGGUAGAAAACAAACGGAACCCAGAUAAGAGGCAGUGUUUUUUUGUAACUAGAAAAGAAGAAGCUGGGCUUUCCUCAAUAAUUAGCGUUAAUUAGUUUUACUUGUCGGGUUCCUAACGAAAAGAUGAAGAAGACAAAAACCAAUGACUUGUCUUCCGCCUCAAAACGAGUAAACCGACUACUGUAAAGAUCGAGAACGUCCAAUAAAAACUGCUUUAUGGUUGA